rnacentral:rRNA from 1 species
UCAGAACGAACGCUGGCGGCGUGCUAACACAUGCAAGUCGAACGCGAAAGGGACUUCGGUCCUGAGUAAAGUGGCGCACGGUGAGUAACGCGUAGAUAACCUGUCUUCAUGUCUGGAAUAAUAACGCCGAAAGGGGUACUAAUACCGGAUAUUCUUGCUUUUCAUAAGUUAUGCAAGCAAAGGUGGCCUCUGCAUAUGCUACUGCAUGAAGAGGGGUCUGCGUACCAUUAGCUAGUAGGUGGGGUAAUGGCCUACCUAGGCGACGAUGGUUAGCGGGUCUGAGAGGAUGAUCCGCCACACUGGCACUGGAACACGGGCCAGACUCCUACGGGAGGCAGCAGUGAGGAAUAUUGCGCAAUGGGGGAAACCCUGACGCAGCGACGCCGCGUGAGUGAGGAAGGCCUUCGGGUCGUAAAGCUCUGUCAAGAGGAAAGAAGUGUACAAUGGCUAAUACCCGUUGUAUUUGACGGUACCUCUAAAGGAAGCACCGGCUAACUCCGUGCCAGCCGCCGC